rnacentral:tRNA from 1 species
AAGGCUUUAAGUUAAAUAAACUAAUAGCCUUCAAAGCUAUAAAUAAAAUAUAUAAUUUUAAGCCUUA